GGGGUUGUGGCUCAGUGGUAGAGCACUUGCAUUGCAUGUGUGAGGCACUAGGUUCAAUUCUCAGCACUUCUU
rfam:Ictidomys tridecemlineatus contig037159, whole genome shotgun sequence.